AACGAACGCUGGCGGCAUGCCUAACACAUGCAAGUCGAACGAGAACUUCGGGUCUAGUGGCGCACGGGUGCGUAACGCGUGGUAACCUGCCCUUAGGUUCGGAAUAACUCCCCGAAAGGGGUGCUAAUCCGGGCUAAUAUCUCCGGACCAAAGAUUUAUAGCCUUUGGAUGGGCCCGCGUUGGAUUAGCCAGUCGGUAGGGUAAAAGCCUACCAAGGCGACGAUCCAUAGCUGGGCUGAGAGGAUGAGCAGCCACACUGGGACUGAGACACGGCCCAGACUCCUACGGGAGGCAGCAGUGGGGAAUAUUGGACAAUGGGCGAAAGCCUGAUCCAGCAAGGCCGCGUGAGUGAUGAAGGCCUUAGGGUUGUAAAGCUCUUUUACCCGGGAUGAUAAUGACAGUACCGGGAGAAUAAGCUCCGGCUAACUCCGUG
rnacentral:rRNA from 1 species